ACAAAAAAACCGCCUGCCAGUCAGCAGGCGGCCAAAAAUGGGAGAGGAGAAACCGGAGGAAGAGCUUAUGGGGAAACGUAAGUCUUCUCCGCGG
rfam:Caldalkalibacillus thermarum TA2.A1 ctg206, whole genome shotgun sequence.